UUUGAAUUUGACUUCAGGUCAUCCAUGAAUUGUCAGAUAGUGAUGUCAAGAUGUUAAAUUUGGGGGGGGGUAAUACACCAUUUUGGCGGUUUUCAAAAAUGUGGAAACACGUGUUUGCUAAAGAGAAAAACUCGGACAAACAUGGCGGAGUAAUUUUAUAACAAUGGUUACGACGAAGAGGUGCGCUUGGGGAACCUGCAAAAGCGAUUCGCGGUAUCCUGAUCGUUUAAAACGAGACGCAAGUAGAAGCAAAGUAUUUUUUUACAUUUUCCUGGGGAGAAAUACCAUAGCGACAAGCGAGAGCGCUGGAUUCGUGCGUGUCAUCGAGGUGACAGAUUUGUGUGUACGAAAGACAGUUAUAUUUGCAGUCUUCAUUUUGUGGGAGAAAAUGGUCCUACUGUAGAUAACCCAGACCCUAUUUCAGCGAUACAAAGUAUUGAGAAUAGAAGAAAACUAACGGGAAAAGGAAAAAAACAAUGACAAGGGUAUAUAAUCCGCCACCAAAACUAGCGUCAAUCUCCAAAAAAGAUGCAGCAGAGGCUCUUCUUUGCUUGAGCGAAAGGGAACACGCUAAAAGAGACGCAGCUGACGACCUCCUAUCCUUAUGUGAAAAUAGUACAACAUCCCGUGAUAUCCAAAAGGAUCAAGACGAAUAUCUUGUUUUAAAGAAAAAAGAUGCUGCUGCUCAAACCAACCUAACUCAUGAACAUCUUAAAACUUAUGCGACUGAGUCAUUUGUUAACACCAGCAGUAUACAGAAAUGCAUGUUUUAGAAAAUGUGGUUAAUGAUUCAGCCCAUUAUAUAGGUAUAAAAUUUCAUUUUUUACUAUGUUGAUUAUAACUUGAUAUAAUUGCUUAUGUUGGAAGCUAUUGGAAAUAAUAAAGGACUUUGUGAGCUACUCUGAAUUAAUUUAUCUGUAGGCCUACCAGGUGAAAUGUUGAAAAUACUUUUGAGUUCGAAAGCAAAGGCUUCCAGGCUUAUCAAAUGGAAAGGGAAGAAAACAGCAAAAUAUAAACAA